rnacentral:lncRNA from 1 species
ACUGAGCCAUUGGGAAGCAGCUGGUAAAAAACAAAGUCAAUGCCCUACCCCUGCCCCAAUCUCUGCCCCUGGAGGGCAACGUCCAGAUUCCCCACCCGAUGCCCUCCAGGACAGGAUUCCUCGGCUGAGGUCUAGCUCUCUGCUGUGGUUUGAAUCCAGUUCCCUGUGACCCUCCUAAAUAUCUUUCUAUCCUGUGUUGAGACUCCCCCCUGGAUUCCAUCUGCUGCCAACCCCAUCCUGAGGCGGAAAGCGGGAGAAAUAAGAUCAUGCAAUCAUCUUCACCUUUCUGCUUUCUUAACACUACAAAAAGUCUGACCACAGUGGGGGGCGGGGGGAGGUCUGGCUGCUCAGCUUUUCCCGGUUCUUGCUAAACACACACACACACUCACGCCCCUGGGACUCAGCUCGGCGGAGGGCGGGGGCUCUGCCCGGUUUCUGCUGGUUUCCCGGGCGCGGGACCACGGCCUCGGGAGCUCCCGAAAGGACGUCCGGACAACACUUUGCUCUAGUCCCGCAGAUCGAGCUGCAGCGCCUCUAUCCCCACGUCCGCACGCGGGAAACCCCGUCUUUGGUUUGCAGAGAGCCACUCACUUCACGGCUCCGGGUCGAGGCAGCUCUGGCCGUCGUCUUUCUCCCCCCCACAAAACCCUCUCCCCGCGCGUCCCCUCCUUGGUCCCCCCGCGUCCCCUCCAGCGUCCCCCGGCCCGGCCCUACCUCCUGGCUGGCCGCGGCUCCGCGGGCUCCGAGGCGCAGCUCGGGGGCGCUCGGGCGGGCGGGGGCGGCGCGCGGCGGGGGCCCGGGGCGCCAUGGCCCGCAGUCCCCCGCGCUCUUGUCGGCCGGGCCUCUCCCCGCUCCCCGCGCUCGCGUGCCCGCCGCCUGGCCGCCGUGGGCGAGUGGAGGGCGGCCCCUUCCUCUGGCGGCGGCGGCUCUGAGCCGGGCCGCCCCCCGCCCGCCGGCGCUCAGUGAGCUCACCCGCAGCUGGCGGGCGCCCGGCCCGUUGCCACGGCAACGCCUCUCCCAGGGCAGCGCGGACCCUAGAGCGGCUCCGAGAGCUGGCAUGGAGAAGGAAAUCCUUUAUCUGUGUUCUGGGCCGUCGUGACAUUUGGAUGAGGUCGAGCAAGGAAGGAGGCUGUCUUUGGGGCAGACAAAGUGCACAGCCCCACUUUGACACACCCUUGGUGAGGAUUCUCCUUAUCCCUCGACCUGAGCCCGUGGAGCCAUCUGGGCUGGCAGCCGGGCUUCCUCCAUCUUCCACAGCCAUCCUACUCCUUGCCUCCCCAGGAAGCCAUCUCCUGCCUGCUGUUCUGGGCUCUCAUUGCAUCCGUGGCCCUUUCUCCCCAGCCUGGAGACAGCUGGAUGCGAGCUCCUGCCCGGCCCACCACAACCCCUGGCUGCCUCCCUCUGAGGAAAUAAAACCAAGUCAAGCAUCCCA